CCUACGGGAGGCAGCAGUGAGGAAUAUUGGUCAAUGGUCGGGAGACUGAACCAGCCAAGCCGCGUGAGGGAUGAAGGUACAGAGUAUCGUAAACCUCUUUUGUCAGGGAACAAAGGCGGGGACGUGUCCCCGGAUGAGUGUACCUGAAGAAAAAGCAUCGGCUAACUCCGUGCCAGCAGCCGCGGUAAUACGGAGGAUGCGAGCGUUAUCCGGAUUUAUUGGGUUUAAAGGGUGCGCGGGCGGUCUGUUAAGUCAGCGGUAAAAGCCCGGGGCUCAACCCCGGCCCGCCGUUGAAACUGGCAGUCUCGAGUUGGAGAGAAGUAUGCGGAAUGCGCGGUGUAGCGGUGAAAUGCAUAGAUAUCGCGCAGAACUCCGAUUGCGAAGGCAGCAUGCCGGCUCCACACUGACGCUGAGGCACGAAAGCGUGGGUAUCGAACAGGAUUAGAUACCCUUGUAGUC
rnacentral:rRNA from 1 species